rnacentral:rRNA from 1 species
UACGGAGGGGGCUAGCGUUGCUCGGAAUUACUGGGCGUAAAGGGAGCGUAGGCGGGUUAUCAAGUUGGAGGUGAAAGCCCAGGGCUCAACCUUGGAAUUGCCUUCAAAACUGAUAACCUAGAGGAUGAUAGAGGUAAGUGGAACUCCGAGUGUAGAGGUGAAAUUCGUAGAUAUUCGGAAGAACACCAGUGGCGAAGGCGACUUACUGGAUCAUUACUGACGCUGAGGCUCGAAGGCCAGGGGAGCAAACGGG